rnacentral:tRNA from 1 species
CCCCUUUUAGCUCAGUGGUUAGAGCAGGCGACUCAUAAUCGCUUGGUCGCUGGUUCAAGUCCGGCAAGGGGGACCA